rnacentral:rRNA from 1 species
CUGGCGGCAUGCCUUACACAUGCAAGUCGAACGGCAGCACGGGAGCAAUCCUGGUGGCGAGUGGCGAACGGGUGAGUAAUAUAUCGGAACGUGCCCGGUCGUGGGGGAUAACGUAGCGAAAGCUACGCUAAUACCGCAUACGAUCUACGGAUGAAAGCGGGGGAUCUUCGGACCUCGCGCCAUUAGAUGAGCCUAGGUCGGAUUAGCUAGUUGGUGAGGUAAUGGCUCACCAAGGCGACGAUCCGUAACUGGUCUGAGAGGAUGAUCAGUCACACUGGAACUGAGACACGGUCCAGACUCCUACGGGAGGCAGCAGUGGGGAAUAUUGGACAAUGGGCGAAAGCCUGAUCCAGCCAUGCCGCGUGUGUGAAGAAGGUCUUCGGAUUGUAAAGCACUUUAAGUUGGGAGGAAGGGUAGUAACCUAAUACGUUGCUACUUUGACGUUACCGACAGAAUAAGCGCCGGCUAACUUCGUG